AGAGUUUGAUCCUGGCUCAGGAUGAACGCUGGCGGCGUGCCUAAUACAUGCAAGUCGAACGGUCUACCGCAAGGUAGAUAGUGGCGAACGGGUGAGUAACACGUUGGUGACCUGCCCCGAAGAGGGGGACAACAGUUCGAAAGGACUGCUAAAACCCCAUAGAGUUCUGGUGAUUAGAAGGCCAGAAUGAAAAGUCGCAAGAUUGCUUCGGGAGGGACCUGCGUCCCAUCAGCUAGUUGGUGAGGUAACGGCCCACCAAGGCUACGACGGGUAGGGGACCUGAGAGGGUGAUCCCCCACAAUGGAACUGAAACACGGUCCAUACACCUACGGGUGGCAGCAGUAGGGAAUAUUGCAUAAUGGGCGAAAGCCUGAUGCAGCAACGCCGCGUGCGCGAUGAAGGCCUUCGGGUCGUAAAGCGCUUUUCAGAGGGAUGAGGAAGGACAGUACCUCUGGAAUAAGUCUCGGCUAACUACGUGCCAGCAGCCGCGGUAAAACGUAGGAGGCAAGCGUUAUCCGGAUUUACUGGGCGUAAAGCGCGUGCAGGCGGUUUGGAAAGUUGGAUGUGAAAGCUCCCGGCUUAACUGGGAGAGGUCGUUCAAAACUUCCAGACUAGAGGAUGGUAGAGGGAGGUGGAAUUCCGGGUGUAGUGGUGAAAUGCGUAGAUAUCCGGAGGAACACCAGUGGCGAAAGCGGCCUCCUGGACCAUUUCUGACGCUCAGACGCGAAAGCUAGGGGAGCAAACGGGAUUAGAGACCCCGGUAGUCCUAGCUGUAAACUAUGUAGACUUGGCGUCGGUGGGUUUAAAUCCAUCGGUGUCGAAGCUAACGCGAUAAGUCUACCGCCUGGGGACUACGGCCGCAAGGUUAAAACUCAAAGGAAUUGACGG
rnacentral:rRNA from 1 species